rnacentral:rRNA from 1 species
AGCGGAGGAAAAGAAAAUAACAAUGAUUUCCCGUAGUAACGGCGAGUGAACAGGAAAGAGCUCAAAGUUGGAACCUGCUUGACUUAGUCAAGCCGGAUUGUAAACUGUAGAAACGUUUUCUAGGCAAGCCGAGUUAAAAAGUCCUUUGGAACAGGGCAUCAUAGAGGGUGAGAAUCCCGUCUUUGACUUGAGCAUUUGUCUUUUAUGAUACGUUUUCAAAGAGUCAGGUUGUUUGGGAAUGCAGCCUAAAUUGGGUGGUAAAUCUCACCUAAAGCUAAAUAUUGGCGAGAGACCGAUAGCGAACAAGUACCGUGAGGGAAAGAUGAAAAGAACUUUGAAAAGAGAGUUAAACAGUAUGUGAAAUUGUUAAAAGGGAACCGUUUGGAGCCAGACUGGCUUGAUUGUAAUCAGUCCGGGGUUUUUCCUCUGAUGCACUUGCAAUCUUUUGCCUGCCAACGGCAGUUUUCUUCAAUAGGGAAAAAACUAGUUGGAAUGUAGGUCGGCCUUCGGGUUGGCUGUUAUAGACUUCUAGAUAAUACCUUGAAGGGGACUGAGGAUCGCAGCGGAUGCUUAGGCGGUUCUAGGGGCUUUAUUUUUGCUUAUGCCGGUGAAAUUUCUAUUUAGGUAGUGUCAUCAGUAUCGGCGGGAAUACGGUCUUUUUAUGAAUCUAAUCUGCUUAGGUCGUUGGCUUAAUGACUCUAAAU